rnacentral:rRNA from 1 species
GUACGGGGGGGCAAGCGGUUGUUCGGAAUUACUGGGCGUAAAGGGCUCGUAGGUGGCCAACUAAGUCAGACGUGAAAUCCCUCGGCUUAACCGGGGAACUGCGUCUGAUACUGGAUGGCUUGAGUUCGGGAGAGGGAUGCGGAAUUCCAGGUGUAGCGGUGGAAUGCGCAGAUAUCAGGAGGAACACCGGUGGCGAAGGCGGCUCUCUGGGACGGUACUGACGCUGAGACGCGAAAGCGUGGGGAGCGAACAGG